CUGGGUGCUUCGAGCGACGGGGUCACACCCGAUCCCAUUCCGAACUCGGUCGUUAAGCCCGUCAGCGCCGAUGAUACUCCGAUGCAUUUCGGGGGGAAAGUAGGCCAGUGCCCGGU
rnacentral:rRNA from 1 species